GAGUUUGAUCCUGGCUCAGGACGAACGCUGGCGGUGCGCCUUAUGCAUGCAAGUUGAGCGAAGCUUUUUGGUAGUUUACUACUAGAAAUGACUGAGCGGCGAACGGGUGAGUAACGCGUGAGCAAUCUACCUUAGUUACUGGGAUAGCCCGAGGAAACUCGGAUUAAUACCGGAUAUUCUUAUUUUUUCACAUGAAGUUUUAAGGAAAGGUCAGCCGAACUAAGAUGAGCUCGCGUUCUAUCAGCUAGUUGGUGGGGUAAAAGCCUACCAAGGCUACGACGGAUAGCUGGUCUGAGAGGACGAUCAGCCACACUGGGACUGAGACACGGCCCAGACUCCUACGGGAGGCUGCAGCAGGGAAUAUUGUGCAAUGAGCGAAAGCUUGACACAGCGACACCGCGUGUGGGAUGACGGUUCUAGGAUUGUAAACCACUUUCAGGAGGGAAGAAAAUGACGGUACCUCCACAAGAAGACCCGGCCAACUAUGUGCCAGCAGCCGCGGUAAUACAUAGGGGUCAAGCGUUGUCCGGAUUUGUUGGGCGUAAAGAGCUCGUAGGCGGUUCAACAAGUCGGUCGUAAAAGUUUAGGGCUCUACCCUAAAAUGUCGAUCGAUACUGUUGUGACUAGGAUACGGUAGAGGUGAAUGGAAUUCCGAGUGUAGCGGUGAAAUGCGUAGAUAUUCGGAGGAACACCAAUUGCGAAGGCAGUUCACUGGACCGUGAUCGACGCUGAGGAGCGAAAGCUAGGGGAGCAAACAGGAUUAGAUACCCUGGUAGUCCUAGCUGUAAACGAUGGAUACUAGAUGUAGGAACUGGAUUGACUGUUUCUGUAUCGUAGCUAACGCGUUAAGUAUCCCGCCUGGGGAGUACGGUCGCAAGACUAAAACUCAAAGGAAUUGACGGGACCCCGCACAAGCGGCGGAGCAUGCGGCUUAAUUCGAUGAUACCCGUAGAACCUUACCUGGACUUGACAUAUAGGGAAAAACUGGAGAAAUCCAGUGUGCGUAAGCGCCCUAUACAGGUGGUGCAUGGCUGUCGUCAGCUCGUGUCGUGAGAUGUUGGGUUAAGUCCCGCAACGAGCACAACCCCUGUCCUAUGUUGCCAGCAAGUAAUGUUGGGGACUCAUAGGAGACUGCCGGUGAUAAACCGGAGGAAGGUGGGGACGACGUCAAGUCAUCAUGCCCCUUAUGUCCAGGGCUGCACGCAUGCUACAAUGGCAAGUACAACGAGUCGCAAUACCGCGAGGUGGAGCAAAUCUCUUAAAGCUUGUCUCAGUUCGGAUAGGAGUCUGCAACUCGACUCCUUGAAGUUGGAGUCGCUAGUAAUCGCAAAUCAGCAAAGUUGCGGUGAAUACGUUCUCGGGGUUUGUACACACCGCCCGUC
rnacentral:rRNA from 1 species